UUAAGCCUGUUGUUUGCUAGCCAAAAUUAGCAUCCUAGUUAAUAUCACAUUUACCAAACCAAUGGGUGACGUCACAGUGGCCAUGUCCACUUCUUUUAUACAGUCAGUGGUUAACAGUGACAGACAUGUAGAUCCAAGUUAUAAACGCUCUUUCUCACUAUGAAGUGCCUGUAUCCUUGCUGCACUGCAUUAUUAUAAAUUAUGAUGAAAUGGUUGUGGGCCCCAUCUCUCUCUUCUGUCUCUCCCUCUAUAUGUCUCUGCAGAUUUCAUGCAUUAGUUGCUGUUGUUGUCUGUAUUGCUGUGGCUGCUUUGACAUACAGUAUGUUGGUGUUUAAGUCUGCUUUGGUGUAAAACCGUCUCAAAUUGGCAUAUUGUCAAGUGUAUCAAUAAACACAAUCAUUAACUGAAACAGAAACAGCUGUGUAGGAGGAAUAAAACUGGGUGAGGAACAGCUGAGCUGAGCUGGUGAAGCUGCUGAAGACAUUUUACUGUCAAACGCCUUAUCUGCCUGUUCUGUCUGCGUUUGGGUCCAGUCCCUGUUUUUCUGCAUAACCCACCGUGACACUUACGUUUACUUUGUGCCUCUGGCUGUUUGUGUGGUUCUGAUUGUCCUGCUGUUGGCUGGUUUUCUGCUGCUGCUCUUCAAAUGGAUGAAAAACAGAAACCUCAGAUCUUCAAAAAGCAGAAAUGUGGAGUUAUCUGUCGCCUCCAAGAACAGGACUCCAGUCUCCACUGGUGAAGACUCCACUUU